rnacentral:rRNA from 1 species
CUACGGGUUGCACCAGUGGGGAAUAUUGGACAAUGGACCAAAGGUCUGAUCCAGCAAUUCUGUGUGCACGAUGACGGUCUUCGGAUUGUAAAGUGCUUUCAGUUGGGAAGAAAAAAAUGACGGUACCAACAGAAGAAGCGACGGCUAAAUACGUGCCAGCAGCCGCGGUAAUACGUAUGUCGCAAGCGUUAUCCGGAUUUAUUGGGCGUAAAGCGCGUCUAGGUGGUUUGAUAAGUCUGAUGUGAAAAUGCGGGGCUCAACUCCGUAUUGCGUUGGAAACUGUCAAACUAGAGUAUCGGAGAGGUGGGCGGAACUACAAGUGUAGAGGUGAAAUUCGUAGAUAUUUGUAGGAAUGCCGAUAGAGAAGUCAGCUCACUGGACGAAUACUGACACUGAAGCGCGAAAGCAUGGGGAGCAAACAGGAUUAGAUACCCUCGUAGUC